UCCACACCAAACACCUUCUAAGAAAGGCAC
rnacentral:piRNA from 1 species